AAUUAAUUAGCUUUUAUGAAAAGCAUAUGUUUUGAAAGCAUAAAAAAGAAGUUAAAUUCUUCUAUUAAUUU
rnacentral:tRNA from 2 species